rnacentral:rRNA from 1 species
UAACAAGGUCUCCGUUGGUGAACCAGCGGAGGGAUCAUUACUGAGUUACCGCUCUAUAACCCUUUGUGAACAUACCUAACUGUUGCUUCGGCGGGCAGGGGGUGCCGCCUGCGGACCCCCCUCCCGGCCCUGCCCUCACGGGCGGAGCGCCCGCCGGAGGAUACCAAACUCUAUUUUAACGACGUUUCUUCUGAGUGGCACAAGCAAAUAAUUAAAACUUUCAACAACGGAUCUCUUGGUUCUGGCAUCGAUGAAGAACGCAGCGAAAUGCGAUAAGUAAUGUGAAUUGCAGAAUUCAGUGAAUCAUCGAAUCUUUGAACGCACAUUGCGCCCGCCAGCAUUCUGGCGGGCAUGCCUGUUCGAGCGUCAUUUCAACCCUCAAGCUCUGCUUGGUGUUGGGGCCCUACGGUUGACGUAGGCCCUUAAAGGUAGUGGCGGACCCUCUCGGAGCCUCCUUUGCGUAGUAACUAACGUCUUCGCACUGGGAAUUCGGAGGGACUUCUUGCCGUAAAACCCCCAAAUUUUUAAAGGUUGACCUCGGAUCAGGUAGGAAUACCCGCUGAACUUAAGCAUAUC